rnacentral:tRNA from 1 species
GGGCGUGUAACUCAGUGGUAGAGUGUUCGCUUUGCACCCAAGUGCCUGCGAAAAGUCCGGUGUUCGAUCCACCGCUCGUCCA